CUUCAGAUGCGGCAGAGUGGAG
rnacentral:snRNA from 1 species